GACGAACGCUGGCGGCGUGCUUAACACAUGCAAGUCGAACGGAAAGGCUCCAGCUUGCUGGAGUACUCGAGUGGCGAACGGGUGAGUAACACGUGGGUAAUCUGCCCUGCACUCUGGGAUAAGCCUGGGAAACUGGGUCUAAUACUGGAUAUGACCUUUCUCCUUAUGGGGUUUGGUGGAAAGUUUUUCGGUGUAGGAUGAGCCCGCGGCCUAUCAGCUUGUUGGUGGGGUGAUGGCCUACCAAGGCGACGACGGGUAGCCGGCCUGAGAGGGUGAUCGGCCACAUUGGGACUGAGAUACGGCCCAGACUCCUACGGGAGGCAGCAGUGGGGAAUAUUGCACAAUGGGCGGAAGCCUGAUGCAGCGACGCCGCGUGAGGGAUGACGGCCCUCGGGUUGUAAACCUCUUUCAGCAGGGACGAAGCGUAAGUGACGGUACCUGAAGAAGAAGCACCGGCUAACUAUGUG
rnacentral:rRNA from 1 species